GAUGAACGCUGGCGGCGUGCCUAAUACAUGCCAGUCGAGCGAACAGAUGAGGAGCUUGCUCCUCUGACGUUAGCGGCGGACGGGUGAGUAACACGUGGAUAACCUACCUAUAAGACUGGGAUAACUUCGGGAAACCGGAGCUAAUACCGGAUAAUAUAUGGAACCGCAUGGUUCUAUAGUGAAAGACGGUUUUGCUGUCACUUAUAGAUGGAUCCGCGCCGCAUUAGCUAGUUGGUAAGGUAACGGCUUACCAAGGCGACGAUGCGUAGCCGACCUGAGAGGGUGAUCGGCCACACUGGAACUGAGACACGGUCCAGACUCCUACGGGAGGCAGCAGUAGGGAAUCUUCCGCAAUGGGCGAAAGCCUGACGGAGCAACGCCGCGUGAGUGAUGAAGGUCUUCGGAUCGUAAAACUCUGUUAUUAGGGAAGAACAAAUGUGUAAGUAACUGUGCACGUCUUGACGGUACCUAAUCAGAAAGCCACGGCUAACUACGUG
rnacentral:rRNA from 1 species